CCUACGGGGUGCUGCAGUGGGGAAUAUUGGACAAUGGGCGAAAGCCUGAUCCAGCCAUGCCGCGUGUGUGAAGAAGGCCUUCGGGUUGUAAAGCACUUUCAGUGGGGAAGAAAGCCUUGGGGCUAAUACCCUCGAGGAAGGACAUCACCCACAGAAGAAGCACCGGCUAACUCCGUGCCAGCAGCCGCGGUAAUACGGAGGGUGCGAGCGUUAAUCGGAAUUACUGGGCGUAAAGCGCGCGUAGGCGGUCUGAUAAGCCGGUUGUGAAAGCCCCGGGCUCAACCUGGGAACGGCAUCCGGAACUGUCAGGCUAGAGUGCAGGAGAGGAAGGUAGAAUUCCCGGUGUAGCAGUGAAAUGCGUAGAGAUCGGGAGGAAUACCAGUGGCGAAGGCGGCCUUCUGGACUGACACUGACGCUGAGGUGCGAAAGCGUGGGUAGCAAACAGGAUUAGAUACCCCAGUAGUC
rnacentral:rRNA from 1 species